CUAUAACCUAUGUUGGGGUGGGCAAACUUUUUGGCCCAAGGGCCACAUCUGGGUAUGGAAGUUGGAUGGUGGGCAUGAAUGCUCACCAAACUGG